GCAUGGCUUCAGCAAUACUUUUGCCUCCCUCUGAUGUGAUGCCAUUGAAUGCGAGACUGUGAAGUAAACAGACACAAAGGCUUAAGAACCAGCCCGCGUUACUUGACCCUGCCACUGCCAAACACUAAGGAGUAUUCUGGGUGGUCUCAUGGUGUGUGUUGACUCUUAAACACAAUACCUUCUGUUGUGCAGGGAGAGAUGAGCUUGUAAAUGCAUGCUUUCCAUUACAAACCACAAACAUUUCUUAGUCUGCCCUUCGUUCUUUGAAUAGACGUUGGCAAAAUCAUCCGGUUAAACUCAUGCUUCGGGCUUUGAGAGUUCAAAAAGCAUUUCCAUCCUCAGAAGCUAGGCCAGAGCUUGAAAAUAGUGCAAGGCCUCGAAAAAAA